GGGCUAGGGACUGUGGUUUCUCUGGUUCUGCCAUGUUUUGACUCUGUUUCUACACAUCGCCUUAAACCUCCCCCAGCUACAGAGCAUAAUUGUUUCAUUAGCUGCCUUGUCUCCACUGCCAGGCUUAGUGAUUGCUUGUGAUCAAUAACUUUGGUUUCUAAGGAUACCUAGCCCAGCGCCUGACCAAGCCCUCCGUGCCCCUCAGUGGCCAGCCUCAAGGAGGCUGCACUCUUGUGGACAGCAGCCAGGCUAGCUCUUGCUCCUCAUCUACCCUAGCAUCCGUCACACUUUCGUUGGUGCUCUGUCUCACAAACUUCACUUAGCAGCAGACAGAAAACUCUUCAGGUCCCUUUACAGCUGGCCUUUGCAGGUGGCUUAGUUUCAACAGCACAGCGCAGUACUAACAACUUGGUUUCUGUAGUGAGGGCAGAGAGCACAGACAACAGAACAGUCCUGGAGGAUGGAAAGCUGUCGUGGCAAAAGCUGCAUCCAGAUGUGCUGGCCACUUCCUGAUUUAGGCCUGGUAAGUGGGGAAUUGGAGGUUCCCUGUGGAAACAAGGUGAUUGGCUGUGUGACCCACCCAUAGCUGCCUGUCUUGCAGUCUGAAGUUCUCUGCGUUCCUGUUGCGUUUGAUGUCGUGUUGCUUCAGCUCUGAUUGACUACACUCUGCCUCUAGAGCUCGUUGUCUCUAGCCCAGCUGGUAGGAAGGACAAGUGGAGGCCUGUCCACAGCCUUCUCCCUCUGCUCCUCCUGCCCCUAUAGCCAGCAGUGCAGGAUGAGCAGACACGGGCCAGGACGGACGGGAAGUAGCAACAGAUGGACUUCGGGUCAGGGUGGAACGAGUUGCUUUGUACCCAGGGCCUGAUGUAUGCUCAGCCCACACUGCCAUUGAGCAGCAUCCCCCCUCCCCCAGCCCCAAUCCAGUAUUUUUAAUUUCCAGUUUUCAAUUUUCUAGUAUUGUAUCUGGAAUUGGACAUUUGUAGAAAAUGAAACUAGGCUUUGGAAUUAGUAAUGUCCAAGGCAGACAGAUUAUAAAGGACAAAAAUAGAGCCUUGAGCCUUAUAGGUGUGUGUGGGACAGGGUGUCACUCAACAAGUGUGGCUCUGCAGGUAGGGUCAUUGCAUAGAGUGAAUGAAAAGCCACACAUGUAAAUGACCUGUCAUUUAAACAUCAAAAGCAUGUUUAAAGAAGUUUUGGGGGCUGACUGGUACAGAUGCCUGUUCCUAGUACACAGAAGCUGAGGGGAGGGGAUGCCUUUUAUUUUUAAUUACAUGUCUGUAUAUGUGACUGGGGCGGGGCGUGGGUGGUGGUGCAGGUAACCAGAGAGGACAGAGACCUCAGAGCCCCUGGACAUGGGUUCUGGCACUGAAUUCAAGUUCUCUGCAACAGUAGUGUGUGUUCUUAACCACUGAGCCAUCUCGUUUAGCCCCCUGAUUUUUAUUUAUGGCAUAUCAGCACUUUAAAGACUCGUGUGGAGUGGUGGAAAGCAGGCGCAGAGCAGGGCCAAAGGAAGCUGGGUGUAUAUAGUGCUGGGACAGACCGGAUGAGGUAUAGUUCCUUCCAUAGGACUGUCUGGUAGGGUAGUACUGAUGAGAAUAGGGUAUCCUGGCCAUGUUAGAAAUCUCAACUGUGCCUUUGCCCUCAGCUUUUGUAUUGUCGGAGAAUCUUUACCUAAGGCAGGAUCUGGAGACUUGGCCUUGCCUGAAGAAGAACCAGCACUGUGAUCCAGGGCGGGGCUUGGGUCAUACAGCUGAUGGCUGUAAUUAGGUAACCGUGAAUGCUUUGGAUAGCCAGGUGUGGUAGCCUGCACCUAAAAUGCUAGCAUGUACAAAGUCAAGGCCAGCAUGAGCUACAGGAGAUCCUGUCUCAUCCAAAAAAUAAAGUAACAAACCUCUUGGAUGUUGUGGGACCGUUCCAUGUAGCUGUGACACAGUGGCCUUGGGAGAGUGCUAUGGCCUGACUCCACAGAGAGAGAGGACCUUUGAGGCUCGGCACUCAGAACAUGUCCUGGACCAAACUUCAAUCUCCCCUGGGCCAUGUUAACCAGUGUCCUUCCCUGAAGGACAACUGACCGAGCCCUGAAUCCUAAUGAAUUUCCCAACCUUGGAGUGGUGUUGCGAACACCAAAACCUACCUUUGGUGGGAAGUGAGGCACUGUGCCUUAACUGGCCAGUUCAGGUUGAUCAGAGGACUCAGGCCACUGUCAUUAGUGGCGAAUGGCAAGAGCUUACUGUGUCUCCAGCCUGCUGUAUCUGCUUCUUGACUAACUGUGGUCUGCAUCGCCUCUCAAGUUACCUGAAGGGCAAAGGACCCAGCCGAAGGACACUUGGAUGCGUUUGUUUCCUUAUAAAGGUAAACAGGGUUUUCUCACAUCAGAGUCAUUUCUGUGAGAUUCUUCAAGGAACAAGCCAGUUUCCCAGAAGGAACAGCUCUCUCUUUGAACCUCCACUGUGUUGGAAAAUCCCUAAGCAAUUCAUACAAAUUGAAACUAAAUCCGGAGCUGGGCAUGUUCACACAUGCCUGAGGCUCAACACUUGGUAGAUCAGGAGUCCAGGUUAUCCUCUCAAAACAGCAACAAAUGUAAAUAACUCUUUUUUUUAUUUCAUUUUUUUCUUUUUUAAUAUUUUUUAUUAGGUAUUUUCCUCAUUUACAUUUCCAAUGCUAUCCCAAAAGUCCCCCAUACUCUCCCCCCCCCUUGUAACUCUUGAAAGACUAUUCUAUUUGAAUACAGAUUUAUCUGUAGAUACAAUGUCAUGAAUGACUUGUUUAAAUACAAUUUUAGGGGGCAAGAAUCCCAGCAGUGCUAUUAUGCAUGUAUACACACACACACACACACACACACAUGAAUAAAGUUUAUGCUCAUUUAAAGCUGGAUAUUCUUCCUACAGUUGAUGUAGAACUUUAUAAUGUAUUAGGAAAGAAAUUGACAAAGUUUAUGAAGCCUAAUAUUUUGAAUCAUGAGCAAGUCAAAGUAUGUUUUUAAACGUUUUUUUACUUUG
rnacentral:lncRNA from 1 species